GGCCUCGGGGAAGGGAGCUCUGGCUCUCGCCGAGGACAAGAGGAAAGGUCGGGCUGAGAGGCUGAAAGGUCGUAAGACCGGACGGCGACCCCCAAGCACCUGAUCCGGACAAUGCCGGCGAAGGGAGCCCACCUCGUAGGUCU
rnacentral:ncRNA from 20 species